rnacentral:rRNA from 1 species
GAUGAACGCUGGCGGCGUGCCUAAUACAUGCAAGUCGAGCGAACGGACGAGAAGCUUGCUCCUCUGAUGUUAGCGGCGGACGGGUGAGUAACACGUGGAUAACCUACCUAUAAGACUGGGAUAACUUCGGGAAACCGGAGCUAAUACCGGAUAAUAUCUUGAACCGCAUGGUUCAAAAGUGAAAGACGGUCUUGCUGUCACUUAUAGAUGGAUCCGCGCUGCAUUAGCUAGUUGGUAAGGUAACGGCUUACCAAGGCAACGAUGCGUAGCCGACCUGAGAGGGUGAUCGGCCACCCGGGAACGGAGACACGGUCCAGACUCCUACGGGAGGCAGCAGUAGGGAAUCUUCCGCAAUGGGCGAAAGCCUGACGGAGCAACGCCACGUGAGUGAUGAAGGUCUUCGGAUCGUAAAACUCUGUUAUUAGGGAAGAACAAAUGUGUAAGUAACUGUGCACAUCUUGACGGUACCUAAUCAGAAAGCCACGGCUAACUACGUG